AAAUUGAAGAGUUUGAUCAUGGCUCAGAUUGAACGCUGGCGGCAGGCCUAACACAUGCAAGUCGAGCGGUAGCACAGAGAGCUUGCUCUCGGGUGACGAGC
rnacentral:rRNA from 2 species